rnacentral:rRNA from 1 species
GSAAAAUUACGGGCGAAAGCCUAAAACUCAAAAGACUUGACGGUGUCCUAAUCUACCUAGAGGSGAGCCUGUUCCAUAAUCGAUAACCCCCGAUAAACCCGACCCCCCUUUGAAAUCUCAGSGCCUAUAUACCGCCGUCGACAGCCCACCUUUCAAAAGAAUUAAAGUAGGCUAAAUAGGSAAUAACGCUCUAAAAAGUCAGGUCAAGGUGUAGCUAAUAGGGCGGAGACAAUGGGCGSUACAUUUUUUAAAAUAACAUACUCACGGACCAGUAUUUUGAAACUAGAACUAUAAAGSGGUGGAUUUAGCAGUAAGCUAAAAAAGAAUGCUUAGCUUAACAUAGCCCUAGGACACGGSUACACACCGCCCGUCACCCUCCUCAACAACACUCAACCCACUAAAUAAAACAGSCAAACAUACAACAAGAUGAGGCAAGUCGUAACAAGGUAAGCGUACUGGAAAGUGGSCGCUUGGUCAA